UAGGUACUUUUGGGUUAUUUGAAACAUGCAGUCCCCCAAACUUUUUUAAAUUUUGUUUUCUACUGAUAUAUUUCACACAAUUUUGAAGAUAUAAGCAUAUGGCCCCUAAAAGCUUCUCAAUUUUGAUACUUACAUACAUCUUCAUAUAUUUUUAUUAAUUAUGAAUGCAUUUCAUAUAUAUUUUAGAAAUAUAACUAUGGCACCCUAAAAUUUGAAAAAAGGAAAAAUGUUCAUAUUGCCCCCACUAUCUUAAUUUUUUUCCCCUUAAUUUUUUUGCGGCCACAACCCCAACAAUUUUUGAAGUCUAGUUCCAGCCCUGAUUUGAAAUAUUUUUGCCUGAUGCCAGAAAACAAAAACCCGUUGAUGUAGAACAAAGAGAACAAGAAUAAGGAACAAACAAGGACUACUGAUCCUGGAAAAGAGAACCAAUUCUCAGAAAUUAUAUUAAUCUCAAAUAAAUGUCAUAAAAAAGCUUCUAGACCUGUAUAUAGUG
rnacentral:misc_RNA from 1 species